ACAGGAUGUUUAUUAGGUAGAAUACAGACUUACAGAGGACAGGGUGUUUAUUAGGUAGAAUACAGACUUACAGAGGACAGGGUGUUUAUUAGGUAGAAUACAGACUUACAGAGGACAGGGUGUUUAUUAGGUACCAGGUAUAAUACAGACAAACAGAGAACAGGGUGUUUAUUAGGUAGAAUACAGACUAACAGAGGACAGGGUGUUUAUUAGGUAGAAUACAGACUUACAGAGGACAGGGUGUUUAUUAGGUAGAAUACAGACUUACAGAGGACAGGAUGUUUAUUAGGUAGAAUACAGACUUACAGAGGACAGGGUGUUUAUUAGGUAGAAUACAGACUUACAGAGGACAGGGUGUUUAUUAGGUAGAAUACAGACUUACAGAGGACAGGGUGUUUAUUAGGUAGAAUACAGACUUACAGAGGACAGGGUGUUUAUUAGGUAGAAUACAGACUUACAGAGGACAGGGUGUUUAUUAGGUAGAAUACAGACUAACAGAGGACAGGGUGUUUAUUAGGUACCGGGUAUAAUACAGACUUACAGAGGACAGGGUGUUUAUUAGGUAGAAUACAGACUAACAGAGGACAGGGUGUUUAUUAGGUAGAAUACAGACUUACAGAGGACAGGGUGUUUAUUAGGUAGAAUACAGACU